rnacentral:rRNA from 1 species
UAAGACGAACCGUGCAAACGUUGUUCGGAAUCACUGGGCUUAAAGGGCGCGUAGGCGGCUCCGCAAGUCGGGGGUGAAAUCUUUCGGCUCAACCGGAAAAGUGCCUUCGAUACUGCGGAGCUCGAGGAAGAUAGGGGCCACGGGAACGACCAGUGGAGCGGUGAAAUGCGUUGAGAUUGGUAGGAACGCCGGUGGCGAAAGCGCGUGGCUGGAUCUUCCCUGACGCUGAGGCGCGAAAGCUAGGGGAGCAAACGGGAUUAGAUACCCCGGUAGUCCUAGCCCUAAACGAUGAGAACUAGGCGGUGGACUUGACAUGGGUUCACCGCCGAAGCAAAAGUGCUAAGUUCUCCGCCUGGGGAGUAUGGUCGCAAGGCUG